rnacentral:rRNA from 1 species
UACAGAGGUCUCAACCGUUGUUCGGAUUCAUUGGGCGUAAAGGGUGCGUAGGCGGUCGCGCAAGUCGGAUGUGAAAUCUCAGGGCUCAACCCUGAAACUGCAUUCGAUACUGCGUGGCUAGAGUGCUGGAGAGGAGACUGGAAUUUACGGUGUAGCAGUGAAAUGCGUAGAUAUCAGGAGGAACACCAAUAGCGAAGGCAGCUCGCUGGGACGUUACUGACACUGAGGCGCGAAAGCGUGGGGAGCGAACAGG